rnacentral:rRNA from 1 species
GGUUAAGCGACUAAGCGUACACGGUGGAUGCCCUGGCAGUCAGAGGCGAUGAAGGACGUGCUAAUCUGCGAAAAGCGUCGGUAAGGUGAUAUGAACCGUUAUAGCCGGCGAUGUCCGAAUGGGGAAACCCAGUGUGAUUCGUCACACUAUCGUUAACUGAAUACAUAGGUUAACGAGGCGAACCGGGGGAACUGAAACAUCUAAGUACCCCGAGGAAAAGAAAUCAACCGAGAUUCCCCCAGUAGCGGCGAGCGAACGGGGAGCAGCCCAGAGUCUGAAUCAGCUUGUGUGUUAGUGGAACGGUCUGGAAAGUCCGACGGUACAGGGUGAUAGUCCCGUACACCAAAAUGCACAGGCUGUGAACUCGAAGAGUAGGGCGGGACACGUGGUAUCCUGUCUGAAUAUGGGGGGACCAUCCUCCAAGGCUAAAUACUCCUGACUGACCGAUAGUGAACCAGUACCGUGAGGGAAAGGCGAAAAGAACCCCGGCGAGGGGAGUGAAAAAGAACCUGAAACCGUGUACGUACAAGCAGUGGGAGCACCUUCGGGUGUGACUGCGUACCUUUUGUAUAAUGGGUCAGCGACUUAUAUUCUGUAGCAAGGUUAACCGUAUAGGGGAGCCGCAGGGAAACCGAGUCUUAACUGGGCGUUAAGUUGCAGGGUAUAGACCCGAAACCCGGUGAUCUAGCCAUGGGCAGGUUGAAGGUUGGGUAACACUAACUGGAGGACCGAACCGACUAAUGUUGAAAAAUUAGCGGAUGACUUGUGGCUGGGGGUGAAAGGCCAAUCAAACCGGGAGAUAGCUGGUUCUCCCCGAAAGCUAUUUAGGUAGCGCCUCGUGAACUCAUCUUCGGGGGUAGAGCACUGUUUCGGCUAGGGGGUCAUCCCGACUUACCAACCCGAUGCAAACUACGAAUACCGAAGAAUGUUAUCACGGGAGACACACGGCGGGUGCUAACGUCCGUCGUGAAGAGGGAAACAACCCAGACCGCCAGCUAAGGUCCCAAAGUCAUGGUUAAGUGGGAAACGAUGUGGGAAGGCACAGACAGCCAGGAUGUUGGCUUAGAAGCAGCCAUCAUUUAAAGAAAGCGUAAUAGCUCACUGGUCGAGUCGGCCUGCGCGGAAGAUGUAACGGGGCUAAACCAUGCACCGAAGCUGCGGCAGCGACACUAUGUGUUGUUGGGUAGGGGAGCGUUCUGUAAGCCUGCGAAGGUGUGCUGUGAGGCAUGCUGGAGGUAUCAGAAGUGCGAAUGCUGACAUAAGUAACGAUAAAGCGGGUGAAAAGCCCGCUCGCCGGAAGACCAAGGGUUCCUGUCCAACGUUAAUCGGGGCAGGGUGAGUCGACCCCUAAGGCGAGGCCGAAAGGCGUAGUCGAUGGGAAACAGGUUAAUAUUCCUGUACUUGGUGUUACUGCGAAGGGGGGACGGAGAAGGCUAUGUUAGCCGGGCGACGGUUGUCCCGGUUUAAGCAUGUAGGCUGAUUAUCCAGGCAAAUCCGGAUAAUCAAGGCUGAGGUGUGAUGACGAGGCACUACGGUGCUGAAGUAACAAAUGCCCUGCUUCCAGGAAAAGCCUCUAAGCAUCAGGUAACAUCAAAUCGUACCCCAAACCGACACAGGUGGUCAGGUAGAGAAUACCAAGGCGCUUGAGAGAACUCGGGUGAAGGAACUAGGCAAAAUGGUGCCGUAACUUCGGGAGAAGGCACGCUGGUGUGUAGGUGAAGUCCCUGCGGAUGGAGCUGAGACCAGUCGAAGAUACCAGCUGGCUGCAACUGUUUAUUAAAAACACAGCACUGUGCAAACACGAAAGUGGACGUAUACGGUGUGACGCCUGCCCGGUGCCGGAAGGUUAAUUGAUGGGGUUAUCCGUAAGGAGAAGCUCUUGAUCGAAGCCCCGGUAAACGGCGGCCGUAACUAUAACGGUCCUAAGGUAGCGAAAUUCCUUGUCGGGUAAGUUCCGACCUGCACGAAUGGCGUAAUGAUGGCCAGGCUGUCUCCACCCGAGACUCAGUGAAAUUGAACUCGCUGUGAAGAUGCAGUGUACCCGCGGCAAGACGGAAAGACCCCGUGAACCUUUACUAUAGCUUGACACUGAACAUUGAGCCUUGAUGUGUAGGAUAGGUGGGAGGCUUUGAAGCGUGGACGCCAGUCUGCGUGGAGCCAACCUUGAAAUACCACCCUUUAAUGUUUGAUGUUCUAACGUUGGCCCCUGACCGGGGUUGCGGACAGUGUCUGGUGGGUAGUUUGACUGGGGCGGUCUCCUCCCAAAGCGUAACGGAGGAGCACGAAGGUUAGCUAAUCCUGGUCGGACAUCAGGAGGUUAGUGCAAUGGCAUAAGCUAGCUUGACUGCGAGCGUGACGGCGCGAGCAGGUGCGAAAGCAGGUCAUAGUGAUCCGGUGGUUCUGAAUGGAAGGGCCAUCGCUCAACGGAUAAAAGGUACUCCGGGGAUAACAGGCUGAUACCGCCCAAGAGUUCAUAUCGACGGCGGUGUUUGGCACCUCGAUGUCGGCUCAUCACAUCCUGGGGCUGAAGUAGGUCCCAAGGGUAUGGCUGUUCGCCAUUUAAAGUGGUACGCGAGCUGGGUUUAGAACGUCGUGAGACAGUUCGGUCCCUAUCUGCCGUGGGCGCUGGAGAAUUGAGGGGGGCUGCUCCUAGUACGAGAGGACCGGAGUGGACGCAUCACUGGUGUUCGGGUUGUCAUGCCAAUGGCACUGCCCGGUAGCUAAAUGCGGAAGAGAUAAGUGCUGAAAGCAUCUAAGCACGAAACUUGCCCCGAGAUGAGUUCUCCCUGAGACUUUAAGUCUCCUGAAGGAACGUUGAAGACGACGACGUUGAUAGGCCGGGUGUGUAAGCGCAGCGAUGCGUUGAGCUAACCGGUACUAAUGAACCGUGAGGCUUAACCUU